UUAAUAUCUCUCGGACCUUU
rnacentral:snRNA from 1 species